rnacentral:rRNA from 1 species
CCUCWGUCRGGAGGGUCGGUCGGGACGAUGUGGUGUCACUCGGCCGAUGCGGUGUGACGGUMACCAUCAGAGGAAGCACCGGCUAACUAUCGUCGCCAGCAGCCGCGGUAAUACGGACGGGGGCAAUCGUUAUUCGGAAUUACUGGGCCGUAAAGCAGCGACGUAGGCGGSUUCGUWAGUCAGGGGUGCAAUCUC